rnacentral:rRNA from 1 species
AGAGUUUGAUCCUGGCUCAGGACGAACGCUGGCGGCGUGCCUAAUACAUGCAAGUAGAACGCUGAAGAGAGGAGCUUGCUCUUCUUGGAUGAGUUGCGAACGGGUGAGUAACGCGUAGGUAACCUGCCUUGUAGCGGGGGACAACUAUUGGAAACGAUAGCUAAUACCGCAUAACAAUGGAUGACACAUGUCAUUUAUUUGAAAGGGGCAAUUGCUCCACUACAAGAUGGACCUGCGUUGUAUUAGCUAGUAGGUGAGGUAAUGGCUCACCUAGGCGACGAUACAUAGCCGACCUGAGAGGGUGAUCGGCCACACUGGGACUGAGACACGGCCCAGACUCCUACGGGAGGCAGCAGUAGGGAAUCUUCGGCAAUGGGGGCAACCCUGACCGAGCAACGCCGCGUGAGUGAGGAAGGUUUUCGGAUCGUAAAGCUCUGUUGUAAGUCAAGAACGGGUGUGAGAGUGGAAAGUUCACACUGUGACGGUAGCUUACCAGAAAGGGACGGCUAACUACGUGCCAGCAGCCGCGGUAAUACGUAGGUCCCGAGCGUUGUCCGGAUUUAUUGGGCGUAAAGCGAGCGCAGGCGGUUUGAUAAGUCUGAAGUUAAAGGCUGUGGCUCAACCAUAGUUCGCUUUGGAAACUGUCAAACUUGAGUGCAGAAGGGGAGAGUGGAAUUCCAUGUGUAGCGGUGAAAUGCGUAGAUAUAUGGAGGAACACCGGUGGCGAAAGCGGCUCUCUGGUCUGUAACUGACGCUGAGGCUCGAAAGCGUGGGGAGCGAACAGGAUUAGAUACCCUGGUAGUCCACGCCGUAAACGAUGAGUGCUAGGUGUUGGAUCCUUUCCGGGAUUCAGUGCCGCAGCUAACGCAUUAAGCACUCCGCCUGGGGAGUACGACCGCAAGGUUGAAACUCAAAGGAAUUGACGGGGGCCCGCACAAGCGGUGGAGCAUGUGGUUUAAUUCGAAGCAACGCGAAGAACCUUACCAGGUCUUGACAUCCCGAUGCUAUUUCUAGAGAUAGAAAGUUACUUCGGUACAUCGGUGACAGGUGGUGCAUGGUUGUCGUCAGCUCGUGUCGUGAGAUGUUGGGUUAAGUCCCGCAACGAGCGCAACCCCUAUUGUUAGUUGCCAUCAUUCAGUUGGGCACUCUAGCGAGACUGCCGGUAAUAAACCGGAGGAAGGUGGGGAUGACGUCAAAUCAUCAUGCCCCUUAUGACCUGGGCUACACACGUGCUACAAUGGUUGGUACAACGAGUUGCGAGUCGGUGACGGCGAGCUAAUCUCUUAAAGCCAAUCUCAGUUCGGAUUGUAGGCUGCAACUCGCCUACAUGAAGUCGGAAUCGCUAGUAAUCGCGGAUCAGCACGCCGCGGUGAAUACGUUCCCGGGCCUUGUACACACCGCCCGUCACACCACGAGAGUUUGUAACACCCGAAGUCGGUGAGGUAACCUUUUGGAGCCAGCCGCCUAAGGUGGGACAGAUGAUUGGGGUGAAGUCGUAACAAGGUA